CCUUCCCUGUAGCAAAGGUGAAUUAUUUUUAAUAAUCUUCUAUGUAAACAUUUUAUUAUCACCUUCUAGUUUUAAUUUGUUUUACAGAUUAUUGUUAUACGUGAUUUUAUGCUCUUUUAAACAUUUAUAAAUGUGCUGCUUCUUUGUUUUUACAUAGCCAGUCAGAAUGGAGUUCACAGCCGCAGUGUGUCUGGUGACCCACGGUGACCAUGAUGAAAAUUCAUCUUCCAGAAAGUCCCAGAGCGUCCAGACCCCCUGAAAAGACCAAGAUGUAAGGUGUCUGCUGUUGAUUCCAGCUUCCACCUCAGUGACAGUGCAAGCUCAGUGAACUGUUCAAGCCUGGCUGAUCACCUGAUAACUCCUGUCAUCUGGUUAUGACAGCAUGAGGAUGUCCUCACACACCUGUAACCUAUCAGCUCAUCUGGCAGAAUAGAGAGAGAAGAGACAACACCACAUCUCCUGUUCCUGGAAAGCCUUCAGCCAUCCUUUGAUGACUGAGAACCUCCAUCAGCUCUGUCUCCUGUCUGCCUACAAUUAUUAUAAUAAAUAUUGUGUUUGACAAGUU